UGUACUGAUGCUCAGCUCUGAUCCAUUUUGUUUAAUACUCUCUCUCCAGUUGUGAUAUAGCACAUUCAAAAUCAUUGUACUUGUAUAUUUCAUAACACAGCACUUCAGACAGAAAUGGAUAUGAGGGCACUGGGCAACCACCACCUGCUUCUGACUGAAAUAGCUCUUUCAAGUCAGGAAGAAGUCUUCAAAUGCUAACUCUCAGCAGUAACUUGAACGAGCUGUCUUCAGUUUGAGGCACUGAGCAGUCGGGAUUCCCGUAGAGCAAGAAUAACUACUUGUCAAGGAAUUCCCUGUGAGAAGCAGAUUUACCUCUGUGUCAGGUCGCUUUCCUCUUACACUCAAACUGAGUGUAGAAGCUGAAAGAACCAAAGUACUAAGCAAAAUACUGUUGGAUACGACAAAAUACAAUGAAAAUAAAAUGGAGUUCAGAACAGAUAAACCUUAUCACUGCCAGUGAAAAGAAAACUUUGAAGGGGGGGAAAAAAGAGAAGAAUGUUCUCCCAGGAUUACUAUGUUCUGCACAUCUUGUCUUUGCAACUUUUCUGUGUUCCUAUCUUUGGUGUGUAUGGAGUUGCUGUGAUAAAAGUUAUGAAGAAAGAAAACAGUUGUUAAAAACCUAGGAAGCCUUAUGAAAACCUGUUUUGCUCCCUACCCUCAGACAUCCUUCCAAAAUAACUGGCUCAAAUAUCCAAAAAUGCAGAGUUUAUAGUUGAAGAAUCAAAAAGACAUAACUCUACUUUUGCAGGAAAACUCAAUUGUUUGUACAAAAAUAGAAAUAUGGGAAGAGAAGCUGGUUGCAAACUUUUUAGUAUUUAUACUUUUUCCUUCUUGGCAUUUGGAAAUCAUAUACAGAAUGUGAUAUUAAAGGCCACAUAAACUGAGUUUUACUGGCUUUUCAAAGAACUAAAAGUUAAUACUGUUUUUUAAAUAAAAAGGAUAAAAUUGG